rnacentral:rRNA from 1 species
CCCGUAACGAGCGCAACCCUUGUCCUUAGUUACCAGCACGUUAAGGUGGGCACUCUAAGGAGACUGCCGGUGACAAACCGGAGGAAGGUGGGGAUGACGUCAAGUCAUCAUGGCCCUUACGGCCUGGGCUACACACGUGCUACAAUGGUCGGUACAAAGGGUUGCCAAGCCGCGAGGUGGAGCUAAUCCCAUAAAACCGAUCGUAGUCCGGAUCGCAGUCUGCAACUCGACUGCGUGAAGUCGGAAUCGCUAGUAAUCGUGAAUCAGAAUGUCACGGUGAAUACGUUCCCGGGCCUUGUACACACCGCCCGUCACACCAUG